AUUGAACGCUGGCGGCGUGCUUAACACAUGCAAGUCGUGCGGUAACAGGCGUAGCAAUACGUGCUGACGAGCGGCGAACGGGUGCGUAAUACAUGGGAAUCUGCCCUUUAGUGGGGAAUAACCCGGCGAAAGCCGGACUAAUGCCGCAUAAGAUCUUCGGAUGAAAGCGGGGGAUCGUAAGACCUCGCGCUGAUGGAUGAGCCCAUGUCGGAUUAGCAGUUGGUGAGGUAACGGCUCACCAAGGCGACGAUCCGUAGCUGGUCUGAGAGGACGGCCAGCCACACUGGGACUGAGACACGGCCCAGACUCCUACGGGAGGCAGCAGUGGGGAAUAUUGGACAAUGGGCGAAAGCCUGAUCCAGCGACGCCGCGUGUGUGAAGAAGGCCUGCGGGUUGUAAAGCGCUUUUCGAUGGGAACGAAAUGUG
rnacentral:rRNA from 1 species